CUUUGUGACCAGAUAGGAGUCACUAAUGCCAAGAGCUCUUACUGGGAAUCCAGGGACCUGGCUCUACAGCCAUUCCACUGGAAUCCUGACCUCCGUGAAGAGAUGCUGGCAUGUCUGGUCCAACCCAAGCCAGAGAACCAUUAAGAAGGGGCCUUCAUUCUGGAUUCUCCAAUGCAACACUGAUGUCCCAGCUGCAACGUACUGUCAUUCAUGAGAGACUGGGAAGGGAAAAGCAUAUAUACAUAGAUAUAUAUAGAUAUAGAUAUAUAUACAGGAAACACCGCGUUCUGCACUGCUGCUGGGGCUGGUGGAGCAGUUGGCCAACAGCAACAGCCAACAUCUGCAACAAUCUACAUUUCCUUUGCAGAAAAUCGAAGAAUUGGUGGGACUUUUCAGGAAAAAAAAAAUGGUAACAACCAUAAUCCCUUGUUCCUCUCUUUGCCCUGCCAAACCAUAAAAGUAAGCCAGACCACGAUGAUUGUAGAAGCACCAUUCAAUCCCAGUUGCACACAGUCCAGUAAGUGGAUGAGCAUUCCAUUUGCUCUUCUCCAGCAUCUGUUGCCCACUUGAACGCAAAGGAAAACAGUGGUGCAGCCAAGCAAGAGAAGUCACAGCAGCAAGACAUGCACAGUCAACCAUUUUCUGAGAAAGAAAAAAAAUCUCCCACUUGGAAAGGAGGAGGAGGAUCACUGGAUUAUUAUUUUCUGGGUCUUGACACUGGGCUGCAAAAUCCACCUUCUUUUCUUCCACCCUCCCUCACCCUCAACUCUCACAUGUCUUGUCAUUUUCCGUCUCAGCUUCCUCCCCUGUCCACACCUCUCCCCCUCUGUGUCCUGGUCCUGCUGAGGGCCACUGCAGAUGACUAUUUGAACUGAGAAAAAGAAAAGAAAGCAGGAACAGAAAAUAAAGCCACAGGAAGGGAAGUAGACAUUGUAUGUUUCUGGUUUCUCAUGAUGAAGGUGCAGCUCGUAGAUUUGUAUGGAUGUGCUUUUAAGUUAUAUAUAUUACAUAUAACAGGAAACAAAUAUUAAAAUAAACAGUGCUGGUAAGUAUGAAGCUGACAUUUAAAAAUUAUAAUUAUCAGACUGUGAUUGAUGUAUCCCAAGGUUCCUAGAUCUUGCUGAACUGGCCCAGCUGAGGAUACUUGAACUCUGGGUGUGGCUGGCUCCCAGUAGGGGCUGACAGGUUCAGUGUAGUAAUACUGUGUGUGGUGUUUGUAAUUGGGUGGUUGGUGGGGAGAGUGGGGCCCCUCCAGUGGAGGCAGGGGUUCAGCAAGAGGGAGCAACACAGAUAUAGUCCUGAACAUGCUGGUCCACGAUGCCUUCUCCCCAGCAGUAGCAGCUGGGCCUGGUCUGUGCUCGGACAUGGGGUCUGGAGUCAGGACUCUGCUGCUGAGUCCCCACAGUAGAGGUCCCUUAGCUCAGUCCUCCUACCUCCCUAAGGGGCUUGCCUUGGUUUUCAAUCUUCUCUUUCUUUGUUUUAUUUUAUCUUUUUUUUUUUUUUUUUUUGCCAUGUCUUGCCCUUCCCUGACCACAUUGCCAUUCCCUGACCAUGUGUAGCUCCAUCCCUAAAGGGAGGUGGUGCCCUGGCCAAGGUAGAAGAUAGUGGCUUCAACCUGGCUCUUUGAAAAUGUCCAGCUCAGUCCUCUCCUCCUCCUCUUCCAUAUUCUGAAUCAUUCUCUUCUUUCUGAGCCAAAAAGGCCAUGAACCCAGGGCAGCCCCUAACAGAUCAAAACUGCAUUUCCAAAGGCUUCACCUACCCCAGGACAAUAGAGGGGGAAGGCAGUGUUGCCCAAAGACUCUGUCUUUGUAACAGACCCUGACUUGGGAGACCUCCUCUUCAGUCAGCCUCUGAGCUUGGAGCCUGUGUUUUUGGAGUCCCCAAAAUUGCCUCAAGACCACAGACGCCCUUGGAGAAACCCAAUGCUCGACAUUGCCCUCUGGCACAUGUGGGCUCCCUCAGACUUGGUUGCCACAAGCCACUCCCCUGAGCUCAGGAGUGUCCCUUGCUGAGGGAAAAUGUCGCACAGUGCUUUAAUUUUUCAGCCUGUUUUCACCUCCCGCUGAUAAAUUUAUUUAAGAAAUAUUUAUUGAGAACCCAUUCGUGCCAGGCACUGUUCUCAGGCUGAAGAAGAAAGUGUGAAGGGGGAGGAGGGACCCAGGAAGCCACCCCACCAGCCUUAUAGUCCCAACUGUGGCUGGCCCAUCUGAGAGCAUUUCCCUUUCCCUCCAACUUGUUGGCUAUUGCCCAGGGAUGUCCCCCAGAGGGCCCAGGCCAGAUGCACCCCCUUGACUUGUUUAUCAACUGCCCUGUGACAUAUAGCUACUGAGCUGGUGCUGGCCUGAAGCAGGGCAAAAAACUAAAAUAGUUUCUGUCUCUCUGGGCACAUGGGAAGUAGAGCAAGGCUCUCAGAUGACAGAGUCAGCCACGUCCCCUCAGUACAGGCCAGCAGACCUGCUGCACCCCAUGAGAGCAGCAGCAUACUUUCCCUGUACCAGGUUCUUUGUGCAGUCCUGGUGGAGAAGCCACAAAACCUCCUUCCUGCCCUUCUCAACCAGAGACCUCCCACUUUCUCUGGGCCAGGAGCUGGAGUGGCUCCACCUCCUCUGGGCUACUUGGAAUUCAGCUCAGGUCUUCCUAUCUUUGCAGGAACCAGGUGUCCCGAACAUAGUGGACACACCUCAGAGGGGGACUCUUUGUUUUGGGGUUUGCACCUGCUGGCAGGGCAGGGCUGAAGUGACCAAGAUUAGCUUGUAGGCCACCAGAUUUUGGGGAGGCCCCCCCAUCCCAUGGACGCUCUGACCCUCCUUCUAUGGAGAGCCAGGCAGCACCACCAGGGAGGAGGGGACUUCCAAGCUGAAAUCUAGGGCACUGUUUCCUCCCCAUCCUCCUCUCCAUAGAGAUUAGAACUGUUUGUCUCAUCUGUCUUUAACCUAUUUUCCUUUUUUCUUUUUGCCACUUUCUCAUCCUCUGUGCACCAUUCUCCAUCCAAGAGGCCAGGUAGAAUAGUGGGAAAAGUCCCAGAGAGCAGUCAGGAUUCUGAGUGGCCAUGCUGGCUCAGCCCCUAACUCACCAUGUGACAUUGGGCUAGCCUCAUUCCCCUUUGGAGCCUCAGUUUCCCCACUUGCAGUAUGAGUGGUGUAAACUAAAAGCUCUCCAGAGUUUUUUCCACUCUUCCAUCUUACAGACCUUUAUUUGUUCUCAUUUUGCUUUUUCUGGAUCUUUUCCAUCUGAGAGUAUAGGAAGUGCCAAGACCUGUUUUUGUUUUUGAAUCCUGCAAGCACAUUCCAAGACUGGCCUGAAAUUGCAUGAGCAACGUCACUCUCAUUUUUUUCAAAAGCACCUUACCGACCAACUGCACUGCUGUCCUGUUCCUUCUUCUUCACACCCCUUCUCUCUUCUCCUGUCCUCACGCUUCCCCCACCUCAGUGCUCUGUGCUGUAUGCGUGUGCUCUCUGUUCUUGUAUACUCAAUAAAAGUGAAAUAAAUGUGUUUGAUGCUGAACCACAGGCUUCUUUGGCUUCCUCUCUCUCCCUCUGUCUUUGGCUACUGGUACAGGUUGGUAUUGUGGGACAGGCUGACACUCGAGUGGAAACAUCCCAACUCAGAGCACAUGUCUGGAGCUUCCAGUGUGCCCUAGGCCUUGCCUUAGUCUCUAUUGAUUUAUCUUGCUUUAAAUUGAUUCACUUUCAGAAGAACUUAUUUGAAAAGGAAACUAUAUUGCUUUCAUAUGUGAAAACUUAGUGCCAUUUGCCAAAAAGGUCUUCAUAAGAACAAACACAAAAAUAUUAAAAAUAAUAUGACCAUAAUCUAUGUAAAAUUUAAAUUCAUCCUUUGGAUUACCUGAGGUACAUACACCACACUUUCCAUUUUAUUGUUUUCUGUCUUGUUCUGUUUUGUUUUGAGAAAGGGUCUUGCAGGCUGGCCUUGAACUCACUGUGUAGCUCAGCCUGGCCUCAAACUUGUGGCAAUUCUUCUGCCUCAGCACCACACCAGGCUUAGUUUUAUUCUAUCAAAUGACUCACCCUAGAAUAUCUUACUAUAUUGCCCAGAAUCUCACAAGUGAGUCUUUUUCCAUAUACACGUAUUUAUUCAGAGUUGAAGUCAAUUUGUGCAUACCAUUCUAAAUACUUUUGAAAACUUAUAUCCCCUA
ensembl:lncRNA